rnacentral:rRNA from 1 species
AUGAAAUACGGUACGAAACAGUGGCUAUUUCGUGGGCCCAAAGCAUAUGGGUGGGACGGCGCUCGCGCACGGGAACUCUGGUCCGUGGACCAGAUCGCUACUAGUCCAACCGAGCCAGGGAUCACUCCCCCCACCUCUGUCUCCGUUCUGAGUAGGUCCUUGCGGCGGCGCUCGUUCUGCAACGGCGAGCACGGGGAAAUGGAAGACGGUGGGGUUGAGUUCCUGCUUGAUGCCAUUGACAUGUUCCCAUUACGAGAGGAAUUCGCGGACAACCCCGAGCACCCAGAUCCGGUUCCCCCGGUCUUGUUGCCAAACAGCGGAGCUGGCCUUGCCAUUUCUGCAGACUCAAAUACUGGAUCUGGUUGCGCUCAACAGCUCGGCGGUGAUGGGAAUGAUAUGGCAGGAGUUCGAGUCCGCCGUCUCGCGGAUGCAUCACCGACGAGGUCGGACCAGUCUAAUGACAGAGUCAAUCCAGAGGCACCUCAGAGGACAAAAAAGGUUAUGGUUGGGCAGUGA